rnacentral:rRNA from 1 species
CAGCAGCCGCGGUAAUACAGAGGGUGCGAGCGUUAAUCGGAUUUACUGGGCGUAAAGCGUGCGUAGGCGGCUUCUUAAGUCGGAUGUGAAAUCCCUGAGCUUAACUUAGGAAUUGCAUUCGAUACUGGGAAGCUAGAGUAUGGGAGAGGAUGGUAGAAUUCCAGGUGUAGCGGUGAAAUGCGUAGAGAUCUGGAGGAAUACCGAUGGCGAAGGCAGCCAUCUGGCCUAAUACUGACGCUGAGGUACGAAAGCAUGGGGAGCAAACAGGAUUAGAUACCCGAGUAGUCCCUGUCUCUUAUAU